GCCGCGGUGGCGGAAUUGGUAGACGCGAGGGACUUAAAAUCCCUUGGUAGUGAUACCGUGAGAGUUCGAUUCUCUCCCGUGGCA
rnacentral:tRNA from 1 species